UCUAACUACAGCUCUAGAGAGAUUGUUACAAAUGUACAAGUUUGGAAGGCAGUUUGUGAAUGUUUGUUGGAACGAUGGAUUAGGGAAACUAAAAUCAACAAACUAUGUUUAUGUGAUGGUGUAGUGCAGCUGAUUGAUAUGAGUAACCAAAAUGUGAUGGUGCUGUGCAGCUGAUUGGCAUUGACAUCGGCCAAUCGGCACGUAGCACCGCCUUUUUAAACCUGAUUGGUUGGUGCUUGGGAUACGUCACGUCCGACUCCGACGCACUGGUUUGGGUGUCUGUAGCCGCGGCUACAGUGCAUCGUGUGGCGGUGGCUUUUCCCUUGGCUGUGGUGGCUGGAUGACUGUUCAAUUGCAGGAACUGAGGUUUCCCCCGGUGGAUGACAGGUCACUUUCCACUGGUGGUGGUGUUUCUCUAUCGUGUGCUGUGGACACUGAGUGCGUGAUAGCGUGAUUUUUGAGUGCACUGUGGUGUGUGCGUGUGCUGGGGUAAAGUCUGUCCACUCGUACCCAAUCAGUGGGAACCUCCAAUCCUGGUUUGGUUUUGUUUAUUUAUUGUUUCUUGUGUUUAAUAAUGAAGUGGGAGUUUUUGAUGUGUUUUUAAGAACCGUACCAUUUGACAGUUUUAUUCCAAAUGAAUAUUUUUGUACUUUUUCAUUAACUCACGUCUCUGUGCCUUUCUGGGAGAAACGAACCUGUGUCCUUUUCUAAUAGUUGUUUCCCUGGGUAACUCCCGGGGUGGCGUAGUCGGUUAUUUUUAUUUAAAGAGAUUUAAACCCUACUCUAUACCCUCGUCACAUUUAUAACAAUGGAACUUGCGACCUUAGUUGGCUAACAAUGGUUUUUAGAAUGUUUGAUUUCGGGGGCGUCACGUCUGACUCUGCACUUUGUUUGGGUGCACUUUUCCCAGUGGAUGACGGGUCUUUUUCCAACUGGUGGUGGUGCUUCUUUACUGUGUGCUGUGGGACACUGAGUGCUUGAUAGUGUGAUUCGGGUGCACUGUGGUGUGUGUGUGUGCUAAGGUAAAAUCAGUCUACUUGUAUCCAGUCAGUGGGAACCUCAGUACUGUGGUUUUGAUUUGUUUAUUUUUUUGUCAUUGUUUUCCUUGUUUUAUUUAAUGAUAUAAAGUGGGAGUUUUUGAUGUGUUUUCAAAAACGAGUACAUCUUUACAUUUGAUGAAAAUAAAUAUUUUUGUACUUUUGUAAUUACCCACGUCUCUUUGCCCUUUUGAGGGAAACAAACCUGUGUUCUUUUUCUAAUUUAGUUAUUUCCCUGGGUAACUCCCAGGUUGGCGUAGUCGGUCAUUUUUAUUCAAAGACAAUUAAAACUCUAUCUCAUCUCCAUCCCCUCGUCAUCCACAUUGGCAGAUCUAGAUCAAUCUCUUUGCGUCAAUAGAGCAACAGCCUGUGCAAGCUCAACUGUGCAGCCAUUGAGAAUCCCAGGAGAAUGGUGACUCCACCCUGGAGCGCUCCACCUGAUGUGGGUGUGAUUUAGAUAACCCUGUGUGGUUUUCCUGAAACUCCAUUUCCAGUUGUUAUGAAUAGGAGCAAAGAGAUUAAAUCUAUCUAGUGCAACUCUCAUACCCUCUCUGGAUCUCUCUGUGGUCCUCUCUGGACUGCAGAGAGAGCUGUUCGAGCUGCUCGAUUGAGAAUCUUCCUUCUCUAGAGACAGCACUGCUCAUCGCGCUGGUUUCUAUCAAGAGGGUCGGGGACCUAGAGGCAUUUUUGUUCUGCAAAUUGUGCCUAGAAAUCUGGAUGACUAACUCUGAUGUUUUCCUGAGAUCCCAACCAAGCUAUGUGCCCAAGGUUCCUACCUCUUCAUUUUGAACCAGGUAGUAAGCAUGCAAGCAUUGACCCUGAAUGAGGCAGACCCAGCCUUAUAUUGCUGUGUCCCGUUUACAAUGAUAGCAAACAGCAGCUCUUUGUGCAUGAUUUCGUCUUUUGGGAAACAAUUUGAUUGUUGGAAGAUGGGUGUUGCUAACAAAAUAAAAGAAGACUAAUGACAACUGAAUGAAUGAAGACAAUAAAUUAUUCUUCUAUGGCCUGCCUUUGAAACUAAGAGAAAAAAUGG